GCCCCUGUGGUGGAAUUGGUAGACACGCUGGAUUCAAAAUCCAGUGGCUUCACGGCCGUGUCGGUUCGAGUCCGACUGGGGGCACCA
rnacentral:tRNA from 1 species